GAGCUGUUGUGCCUAAUGGAACAGAUGAUAUCGAGGAACCUGAAGUGCCAGAAAUGGACGAUGACAUGCCAGAUGCUCCAGCGGCUGAAAUGGUGUUGCCAAACCCGUCCAGUCAUCCACGCCUAUCCGAGAUAGGAGAAAUAAACGAGAUCACGCUGGUUUACCUUUGAAUGCACCAAAGAGAGUUCGGUUUGCAUCUGGUGCCAGUCUAGCAUGAGGGGAAAAAUUGCAGUCAAUGAGUCAGCUGAUCGUGAGGAACUGGCAGCUACCUAAUCGGGCAGCGGUAAUGGGUUUAGCUGUGCAUAAUUGUGAUAGUGUGUUCCUAGAUUCUUGUAAUUCUAAUAAUGGUAUACAGUUUGCAUAUCAAGGAGGACAUGGUGACGGGAGUGCAAAGACGACCAGUACAACUCAUCAUUGUGCAUCAGCAGCUAAUUCAUGAAUUUGAGUAUAUACCUGGGAUGCAAAGGGUGGGAGCUCGAUAAUUCUUAAUGCUAUGUUAUACUGCGUAUUCAGCAGGUACCGCGAGUGGCGACAUAUCCAGGGGCAUCGUCCAGUUGGAGCCUCGGCAGUCGGCACUAUAACUGGUGUACGGACUUUGCGUUCAGCUUCCAGGCUUAGAGAAGCAUAUGGGGUGUUCAUUCAGAUAGACAAUAAGGAUUGUGUGAAGAGAGAGCUAGACGAGCAGUUUCCCAAUCCUAGGCGAUGCAGGGGUGUAGCAUGAGCAGCCAAUCCCUCAGUAUGGAUGAAAGAGAUGAAGCCAUGCGUUACUCCACGCGUGGUACCAGGCAUCGCACCGUUGGGCCACGAACAUGUGCGGUCCAAGACGGUGGGUGUACGGUCCAAGUCGUCAGCCGCCAUAUGUGCCGUCAAUAUGUUGAGGACUGCGACAUAUUCAACUGUGCUGGCUAGUGGGCCUGGGCACUGUUUAUUAAUCCAGAUACUGCCUCCAAUACUCACGAAUAUACCCACAUGGGCUUCCAUCUGUCCAGGCAUGGUUGGUCCAGGGCGCGAGUGUAGAUGCACCCGGGAG